UGGGGAAUUUUGGACAAUGGGCGAAAGCCUGAUCCAGCAAUGCCGCGUGUGUGAAGAAGGCCUUCGGGUUGUAAAGCACUUUUGUCCGGAAAGAAAUCCUUGGCUCUAAUACAGUCGGGGGAUGACGGUACCGGAAGAAUAAGCACCGGCUAACUACGUGCCAGCAGCCGCGGUAAUACGUAGGGUGCAAGCGUUAAUCGGAAUUACUGGGCGUAAAGCGUGCGCAGGCGGUUUGCUAAGACCGAUGUGAAAUCCCCGGGCUCAACCUGGGAACUGCAUUGGUGACUGGCAGGCUAGAGUAUGGCAGAGGGGGGUAGAAUUCCACGUGUAGCAGUGAAAUGCGUAGAGAUGUGGAGGAAUACCGAUGGCGAAGGCAGCCCCCUGGGCAAUACUGACGCUCAUGCACGAAAGCGUGGGGAGCAAACAGGAUUAGAUACCCUGGUAGUCCACGCCCUAAACGAUGUCAACUAGUUGUUGGGGAUUCAUUCCUUAGUAACGUAGCUAACGCGUGAAGUUGACCGCCUGGGGAGUACGGUCGCAAGAUUAAAACUUAAAUGAAUUGACGGGGUCAUAGCUGUUUCCU
rnacentral:rRNA from 1 species